rnacentral:rRNA from 1 species
UACGUAGGGGGCAAGCGUUGUCCGGAAUCAUUGGGCGUAAAGCGCGUGUAGGCGGCUCGGUAAGUCUGCUGUGAAAGUCCAGGGCUCAACCCCUGGGAUGCCGGUGGAUACUGUCGAGCUCGAGUCCGGAAGAGGCGAAUGGAAUUCCUGGUGUAGCGGUGAAAAUGCGCAGAUAUCAGGAGGAACACCAAUGGCGAAGGCAGCUCGCUGGGACGUGACUGACGCUGAGACGCGAAAGCGUGGGGGAGCAAACAGG